GAUGAACGCUGACAGCAUGCUUAACACAUCAGCGAUUGAGUGGUGGCGGACGGGUGAGUAUCGCGUAUAUAACUUGCCUCACAGCUAGGGUGAACAUUUGGAAACGAAUGCUACUAUCUAAUCCUGUGAGAGAGCUUUUCGGCCCAGUAGCUAGUUGGGGAGGUAACGGCUCACCAAGGCGAGGAUGGGUAGCCGGCCUGAGAGGGUGAUCGGGCUCCAGGGGACUGAGACACGGCCCUUACGCAUACGGGAGGCAGCAGUGCGAAACAUUGAACAAUUGACCAAAGUCUGAUCCAGCCAUUCUGUGUGCACGAUUAAGUUUUCGGGAUGUAAAGUGCUUUCAGUUAAGAAGCGGUACCAACAGAAGAAGUGACGGCUAAAUACGUGUCAGCAGCCGCGGUAAUUC
rnacentral:rRNA from 1 species